GCCCAAGUGGCGAAAUUGGUAGACGCACUAUGUUCAGGUCGUAGCAUUCGCAAGGAUGUGCUGGUUCGAAUCCAGUCUUGGGCA
rnacentral:tRNA from 1 species